AUUCAUUUUACAUAACUUUUUUUUACCCGAAAAAUUUUUUGUGUACAAAUUAAAAAAAAAAAACACACGCACUCGAACUUCAGCAAGAGUAAAAACUACGGAGCACUGCACCAAUCUGAGCAGCAGCACAGCCUGGUGGUUAGCAGGAGCAGUCACAGCCAGUCAAACUUAUCAACGCGAUAGAAAAAUUGCAACUACCUACUGAGGAACGAACGAGGAACGCACUCACAGCUGACAACGACAACCAGCGCGCGACUACGACACGACUGCUGGCGAAAAAAAAGGAUAACCGAGAGAUGAUGUUUUUGGUGCGGUGACAAUUGUCAAAAAAACUACAACAACCAUCUCCUAAGCUCACACACAAUGACAAGAACAACCACAACGGUGUCGCGCCAAUAGCAGCAGCAACUACCUAAAUACAUCAUCAAAGGAAUGGAAGAAAGAAGAAGCAUAACAGCAGAGUACAAUAACAAAAAUCACUUUGACGGAUAAGCACCACAAGUACAAAUGUAACGAAAGAGGAAACGAAAGAAAAUACCAACAAAAACAUACCCCAAUGCAUAUACAUACCCAAAAGCUGCGAAGCCCAGGCUCAGCUCUCUCUCUCUGUGUGUGUGGCAACAACACAAAAGCAUAAUGAAGUCAAAGUUACGUAGCAAAACAAAACACAAGAAAACGGCAUAUAUGAGUAGCUGGGUGGAUGGCUGUCUGGUGGACAACGAAGUUCGGGAUAAAUUACCAUCGCAGGGGCCGAAUUACCCAUACGUAAUCGAGUGAGCUUUCAUAUCGAAUGACAUUUCAUCUCAUAUUUAAUAGUUGGUAUGUCACUUGUAUAUACAUUUUUAUGUCAAAGUUUUUGUAAAUAAUUAUAGAUUUAAAUAAUCGCGUUCCUAAUUUUCAAAAACUCC
rnacentral:sRNA from 1 species